rnacentral:lncRNA from 1 species
GCCAGGCCAAGGUGCACUUCUUAGUACCAAUUUCUUCCCUAUCACAAAUGCUUUCAGGUGACAAUAAGGGUAAUUUUUAGUAUUUCAGACUAAAAUUCUUUUGCUGGUCUCUGUGUCCUUACAGAGUUCAGACCCUGAAGACAUUUCAUAUUUAGCUGUUGCCUGACUUCAGUGCCUUUUAAUUGCAAAGAAGUCCUAACUUGGAAACACGCUGUGACACACUCUGGUUCAGAGUUUUCAGGAGAUCAUCACAUGCCAAACCACCUUUGCAGACCCACAACAAGAAAUUCAAGGUUAUGGCGCAAGUCUAGGGCACAGAUGAGACACUGAACACAAUGAGAUCACA